rnacentral:rRNA from 1 species
CUACCAUGCAGUCGAACGGGAUCUGACCAGCUUGCUGGUUGGUGAGAGUGGCGAACGGGUGAGUAAUGCGUGACCAACCUGCCCCAUGCUCCAGAAUAGCUCUUGGAAACGGGUGGUAAUGCUGGAUGCUCCAACUUGACGCAUGUCUUGUUGGGAAAGUGUUUAGUGGCAUGGGAUGGGGUCGCGUCCUAUCAGCUUGUAGGCGGGGUAAUGGCCCACCUAGGCUUCGACGGGUAGCCGGCCUGAGAGGGCGGACGGCCACAUUGGGACUGAGAUACGGCCCAGACUCCUACGGGAGGCAGCAGUGGGGAAUAUUGCGCAAUGGGGGAAACCCUGACGCAGCGACGCCGCGUGCGGGAUGAAGGCCUUCGGGUUGUAAACCGCUUUUGAUUGGGAGCAAGCUUUCGGGUGAGUGUACCUUUCGAAUAAGCGCCGGCUAACUACGUGCCAGCAGCCGCGGUAAUACGUAGGGCGCAAGCGUUAUCCGGAAUUAUUGGGCGUAAAGAGCUUGUAGGCGGUUCGUCGCGUCUGGUGUGAAAGCCCAUCGCUUAACGGUGGGUCUGCGCCGGGUACGGGCGGGCUAGAGUGCAGUAGGGGAGACUGGAAUUCCCGGUGUAACGGUGGAAUGUGUAGAUAUCGGGAAGAACACCAAUGGCGAAGGCAGGUCUCUGGGCUGUUACUGACGCUGAGAAGCGAAAGCGUGGGGAGCGAACAGGAUUAUAU